rnacentral:rRNA from 1 species
AUUGAACGCUGGCGGCAUGCUUUACACAUGCAAGUCGAACGGCAACAGGGAGCUUGCUCCGCUGACGAGUGGCGAACGGGUGAGUAAUGCGUCGGAACGUGCCGAGUAGUGGGGGAUAACGCAUCGAAAGGUGUGCUAAUACCGCAUACGAACUGAGGUUGAAAGUGGGGGACCUUCGGGCCUCACGCUAUUCGAGCGGCCGACGUCUGAUUAGCUAGUUGGUGAGGUAAAGGCUCACCAAGGCGACGAUCAGUAGCGGGUCUGAGAGGAUGAUCCGACACACUGGGACUGAGACACGGCCCAGACUCCUGCGGGAGGCAGCAGUGGGGAAUUUUGGACAAUGGGCGCAAGCCUGAUCCAGCAAUGCCGCGUGCAGGAUGAAGGCCUUCGGGUUGUAAACUGCUUUUGUACGGAACGAAACGGUGAGCUCUAAUACAGUUUGCUAAUGACGGUACCGUAAGAAUAAGCACUGGCUAACUACGUGCCAGCCGCCGCAGUAAUAC